GACGAACCGUGCGAACGUUAUUCGGAAUCACUGGGCUUAAAGCGCGUGUAGGCGGGGCGGCACGUCGGUCGCUGAAAGCCCCCGGCUCAACCGGGGAACGGGCGCCGAUACGACCGCCCUCGAGGAACGUAGGGGGACCUGGAACUUCCGGUGGAGCGGUGAAAUGCGUAGAUAUCGCUUGGAACGCCAGUGGUGAAAACGGGUCGCUGGGGACAUGCUGACGCUGAGACACGAAAGCCAGGGGAGCGAACGGG
rnacentral:rRNA from 1 species